AGUUUGAUUAUGGCUCAGGAUGAACGCUGGCGGCAUGCCUAAUACAUGCAAGUCGAACGGAGUGAAGCCUUCGGGUUUCAUUCAGUGGCGAACGGGUGAGUAAUACGCAGGGAACCUGGCCAUGGCAGGGGGAUACACUCUGGAAACGGAGCAUAAGACCCCAUAGGCAGUAAGGCGGCAUCGCCUUACUGUUAAAGAAAGCUGAAAGGCUUUGGCGAUGGAUGGACCUGCGGUGCAUUAGCUUGUUGGUGAGGCAACGGCUUACCAAGGCGAUGAUGCAUAGCCGGCCUGAGAGGGCGGACGGCCACACUGGGACUGAGACACGGCCCAGACUCCUGCGGGAGGCAGCAGUAGGGAAUUUUCGUCAAUGGGCGCAAGCCUGAACGAGCAAUGCCGCGUGAGUGAGGAAGGUCUUCGGACUGUAAAGCUCUGUUGCCGGGGAAAAAGGGGAAACGCAGGAAAUGGCAUUUCAUGGAUGGUACCCGGCCAGAAAGCCACGGCUAACUACGUGCCAGCAGCCGCGGUAAUACGUAGGAGGCGAGCGUUAUCCGGAAUGAUUGGGCGUAAAGGGUGCGCAGGCGGUCUGUUAAGUCUGAAGGCAAAGGGAUGAGCUCAACUCAUUUAUGAUUCAGAAACUGGCAGACUUGAGGACAGGAGAGGGCGGUGGAACUCCAUGUGUAGCGGUAAAAUGCGCAGAGAUAUGGAAGAACACCAGUGGCGAAGGCGGCCGCCUGGCCUGUGACUGACGCUGAGGCACGAAAGCGUGGGGAGCAAAUAGGAUUAGAUACCCUAGUAGUCCACGCCGUAAACGAUGAGGAGCAGGUGUUGGGAGUGAAAUCUCAGUGCCGAAGCCAACGCAGUGACUCCUCCGCCUGGGGAGUAUGCACGCAAGUGUGAAACUCAAAGGAAUUGACGGGGGCCCGCACAAGCGGUGGAGUAUGUGGUUUAAUUCGAAGCAACGCGAAGGACCUUACCAGGUUUUGACAUCGGAUGCGAAGGUGCAGAGAUGCGCUGGAGGCUAUCAUCCAGACAGGUGGUGCAUGGUUGUCGUCAGCUCGUGUCGUGAGAUGUUCAGUUAAGUCUGGCAACGAGCGCAACCCCCGUGGUAUGUUACUAACGCUUAGGGCGAGGACUCAUAUCAGACUGCCGGUGACAAACCGGAGGAAGGCGGGGAUGACGUCAAAUCAUCAUGCCCCUUAUGACCUGGGCUACACACGUACUACAAUGGCGUCUACAGAGGGAAGCGACCCUGAGAAGGGAAGCGAAACCGGAAAAGGGCGUCCCAGUUCGGAUUGAAGUCUGCAACCCGACUUCAUGAAGAUGGAAUCGCUAGUAAUCGCGGAUCAGCAUGCCGCGGUGAAUACGUUCCCGGGCCUUGUACACACCGCCCGUCAAACCAUGGAAGCCGGCAACGCCCGAAGCCGGUGGCAUAACCUUUUAGGAGUGAGCCGUCGAAGGCGGGGCCGAUGACUGGGGUUAAGUCGUAACAAGGUAUCC
rnacentral:rRNA from 1 species